GUUAAUUACUCGUUUAAAUAAAUAACUAUUAAAUGUUGACUCAAGGUUCAAAAUCAGGAAGUCAAUGAAUGGAGUCCACCAAAUCUAUCUCUCAUGAUUUUAAGACUCUUUAGCUCCAAUAGGUAGAGGAACCAACAAAAAUGUUGACAAGAAAAGAUAAAUGUUUCCAAAUGGUUUGAUGAUUUGGAUUGUGCCAACAGUGCUGUAACAUGAGAAGUUUUGCUUUGUUGGCCUAAUUGUACACAAAUGCCUCUGGCUUAUUAUUAUAUUUUUUUACUUGAAGACACCGUCAUAGCUAAAAGUGUAUGCAUCAGUAGCAUAUAAACUGUGACAAAUGGGGAAUGGAUGCACAGGACUAUUCAUUCUUCAGAAUUAUUUUGAAAUAGCUUCUUACUGUCUAUAGAUAGAUAAGGUAAUUCAUGCUUUAGCUUAGGAAACAUUAUCAGAGAUGCAAUUGCAAUUUUAUUAUUUUUUUUGCAUCGCAUUCUAUUAUAUUGUAUUUGAAUCUUGCAUAUUUGUUAGAGAAAUGAUCCACACUAUUUUCUGUUCCCUUAUAUAUAUAUAUAUAAUGAGAGAGUUCAGACCAAGAAAACACUAAAAAUAGACAAAGCUGUCCCAACCAUAAUAGCUAAUAAAAUUGAUGAAAAAAUAACAGGGAAAAGCCAGAGGUCACCAAAUAAAGUUAAAAAUUUCAGUCAACAUUGAACACAACUUGAAAACGUAAUAAGGAGAAGCAAGCAACACCGCUAGCUACAACUCACAGUAAAGAAAAACACACAAACACAAAGUCCAAACUUCACUCGGACUAAAAUAGCAGACCAAGCUAGAUGAGUGAAACAGAGAAGAACCCAGAGUUAGGAACUUGAAGAGAGACAUGGGAAGAAAAGAAAAGGCUGUGGAGAGAGAAGGAAAAGGAAAAAAUAAAGGAGAUAUAUUGAAGAGUGAGAAAAAAGAUGAAAGGAUUUGGCUUCAACUUGGAUUUAAAGAUUGAAAAAUGAUAACUGAAUUUUGAAAUAAUGGUUUAAAUUUUGACAAUGGUUCUGCAUUGAUAAAAAAGAAAAGAAAAGCUGCUAAAUCAUCCACCUGUAACUGCUCUGAAUUUUGACAAUGGUUCUGCAUGGAAACUUUUGGAGAAAUUGAUUUCUAGAGCAGCCAUGAUGUGCUACAGGCUGAAAUCUGACACUUUCGAAGUUUUGAAAUUUUUAGGAUAAUUUUGGUGAUAUUCGGGGACUCAUGAUGGCAUAACCUCUUUAAUGAUUUGCCACCUUGAAUUGCUGUGAGAAACUUCAGAACUUAUAUGAUGUGCAGGAAAUUGCAUGAUUGUCCACAUUUAUGUCACGAGGCAUGUUGUCCAGCUCAAUGCCCAUCACCUGACAAGUGCACCAAAAUGGUACCAAUUUCUCACCUCAUCAUACAACGAUUAGUGAAAAGGAACAUUUUGUUAAUGUACAAAACGUUAAUGUUAUUUCAGCUUCCAGUUAUUAACUUGAUUUGUCAUACCAACUCUAUACAAGGUCUCUAUUCAUUAUCAAUGCCAAGCCUUGAAAUAGGAGAUGCCAUGUCAAGAGGGUUUAAGCUGCAUAUUGUAAAGCAGGCUCUGAUCCCAAAGAUACAUCUGAAAACCAUUUUGGACCUGAACUUCUUCCUUGGAAUUCUGCUUGCAAAAGUACAGGUCGUGGAUCAGGAAUUGCAUUUGUGUAAACCCAAAGAUUUGGAGGUUAUGUGAUGAAACAGCCAACUGGAUAUAUUUCCAUUACAAUAAGGAAAGUUAUUUCAUUAAAUGAUACAUUAUGAAAAGGUUCCAGCCACUAAAAUUCAUUCACCUAAGCACCAAAAUCGGCGUGAACGACUGCAAGAGCAAAGAAGACCUCACAAAAUGCGGGUAUGUUACUCUUCAGAAGCAAAGACCAAUUUUUUUAACUGCUUUUUUGUCAUGAUGGCUUGUUUUGAAGCAGAAGAUGCUGCCGCUAUGAGGUGGCUUUUUCUAAUAGUCACCCUUGUGGUGACUCUGGUGGCAGCAGCAUAUUUUGGUAACAAAGGUCUCAUGUGCUCUCCGAUUGGAUGGAUGAAGUUGAAGAGCAACGAGACAGAGAACCAUGAAUCCAAUCAUUGUCAAUGUCGUCACUUGAGUCGUCAUCAAGUUACAUUGCUUGAACUCUGAUAGGCAUUUACUGGUUACCAUAUUUUUUACAUCAAAUGGCUGUCUGGUGAAUGUACUGGGGGGUUUGUUUUCCUUGUUAGCAGUAGUCUUUCCGACUCACAUACAAAAGUGGCGAGCAUCACCUGAUUUGGGCAAAAAAAACAGGCGAUUGAUUUUGACGUGAAUUUGGAACAUGGGUGUGAGCAUGGACACAACCGAUAAGUCUGUCAGUACAUAUUUGAUUUAUGAAGCGAGACAUGAUUCUGAUCUUUCUCUAUUCGGUGCAUCCAAGAGAAAGGGCUUUUUAGCAUCGGCCAAACUACCUGAAGAAUCAGCCAUUUGGCUUUCUCAUGGUUUUCCAACAAGAAGCUGGAUUGGUCUAAAGUUUUGGUUUGGACAAAAUUUACCAUUGAAACAAGACUGUAGGGACCAGCACGUGUCUGACUUGCUCGAUGUCUUCACUUUUUUCAGCCUUUUUUUUCAUCCUAUCCAGGUAAAACGUCAGCAAAUGCAUGAAUAUAACAGAAGUUGUGCUUGGAUGACGGUCAACAGCAGGGAUAUUGUGAAUACGAUAUGAUUGGAUUAGAUCGUGCCCAGAAUAUUCGAGUGGUGGUUGAAAGGUAGAAAAGGGAACUCCAAGGUGGUGUCUUUGCCUACGUGUGCGAGAGAGCGGGGAUGACAAGUAAUGCGAGAUGCUAUGGUUUGUAACAAAAUCAAAUCAAAUCAAUUACUUGUUUUUUCAAUAGAUAGAGUCAGGGUGAACAGUUAAACCCUAUCGGAUCUCAAAAUUAAUUGCAAAAUUCACAAUUGCAAAUUUAAUUAGAGAAGGGUCUUGUCACCACAAUAUCGAUGGGUGGUUUUACACAAGCUAUAAAUCACUGCAUGGACGUGAAAUGCAAGAGCACUUGUGUUCAUCAUUAGGCACAUGUGAUAUGUUUGCAGCUCAUUCUUGCCAGCCCAUGAACUGUUAAUGCAUCCCUUUGGCCUGUAGUCGUCUCCAGUGACUGUUUUCCGGUACCAUGAAAAUUAUUUGGCCUAAUCAUGCAGUUAAAUGUUGUUUAAAUACAUAUGGGAAAAAAAACCACAUGGUGUUGUUGGGAGGCUGUACAUAAAUAAGGGCAGAAUUUUUUCACCUUGGAUUGAGUACUCUCAAUCUGUAUGUCCUCUUGCUACAAAACGAUUCACUGACAACGAAUUUCAAGAACA